UUUAUCGGAGAGUUUGAUCCUGGCUCAGGACGAACGCUGGCGGCGUGCCUAAUACAUGCAAGUCGAGCGGACAGGUGGGAGCUUGCUCCCUGAUGUUAGCGGCGGACGGGUGAGUAAC
rnacentral:rRNA from 1 species